rnacentral:rRNA from 1 species
CAGAAACUCAAAGGAAGUUGACGGGGGCCCGCACAAGCGGUGGAGUAUGUGGUUUAAUUCGAUGCAACGCGAAGAACCUUACCUGGUCUUGACAUCCCGGAGACCCUUAGGAAACUAGGGGGUGCUUCCAUCUGGAAGAAUCUGGAGACAGGUGCUGCAUGGCUGUCGUCAGCUCGUGUCGUGAGAUGUUGGGUUAAGUCCCGCAACGAGCGCAACCCUUGCCUUUAGUUGCCAGCAGUUCGGCUGGGCACUCUAAAGGGACUGCCGGUGUUAAACCGGAGGAAGGUGGGGAUGACGUCAAGUCCUCAUGGCCUUUAUGACCAGGGCUACACACGUACUACAAUGGCCGAUACAAAGGGCAGCGACACUGCGAGGUGAAGCCAAUCCCGUAAAAUCGGUCUCAGUCCGGAUUGGAGUCUGCAACUCGACUCCAUGAAGUUGGAAUCGCUAGUAAUCGUGGAUCAGCAUGCCACGGUGAAUACGUUCCCGGGCCUU